ensembl:ncRNA mir-999 mir-999 stem loop
AAGGAUGCCGCUCAAUUACCCCGACAUAGUCAUACGGUGAAUGUUGUGUAUUGGAGACCAAUGUUAACUGUAAGACUGUGUCUCGGUGGUUGCCAGCCCAGCCAC